UACGGGGGGGGCAAGCGUUGUUCGGAAUUACUGGGCGUAAAGGGCUCGUAGGCGGCCAACUAAGUCAUGCGUGAAAUCCCUCGGCUUAACCGGGGAACUGCGUCUGAUACUGGAUGGCUUGAGUUCGGGAGAGGGAUGCGGAAUUCCAGGUGUAGCGGUGAAAUGCGUAGAUAUCUGGAGGAACACCGGUGGCGAAGGCGGCAUCCUGGACCGAUACUGACGCUGAGGAGCGAAAGCCAGGGGAGCAAACGGG
rnacentral:rRNA from 1 species